AUUGAACGCUGGCGGCAGGCCUAACACAUGCAAGUCGAACGAGUGGCGGACGGGUGAGUCAUGUCUGGGAAACUGCCCGAUGGUGGGGGAUAACUACUGGAAACGGUAGCUAAUACCGCAUACCAUCGGAUGUGCCCAGAUGGGAUUAGCUUGUAGGUGAGGUAACGGCUCACCUCGGCGACGCUCCCUAGCUGGUCUGAGAGGAUGAUCAGGCACACUGGAACUGAGACACGGUCCAGAUUCCUACGGGAGGCAGCAGUGGGGAAUAUUGGACAAUGGGCGAAAGCCUGAUCCAGCCAUGCCGCGUGUGUGAAGAAGGUCUUCGGAUUGUAAAGCACUUUAAGGUGGGAGGCGUUACCAACAGAAUAAGCACCGGCUAACUUCGUGCCAGCAGACGCGGUAAUAC
rnacentral:rRNA from 1 species